rnacentral:rRNA from 2 species
GAUUUCUGGUAGGGCGCAUUUGGCCCGCCUCGGUUACGAGGUUGAGUGCCGUUUUGCGCCCGCCAUCCUUCUAGAGUACGACUCUCCCUUCACUGGGUUGGGCCGGAAUCUAGAUCAUUUACUUUGAAAAAAUUAGAGUGUUUAAAGCAGGCUUACGCUAUGAAUACAUUAGCAUGGAAUAAUAAUUUAGGACUUUGGUCUUAUUUUGUUGGUUUCUAGGACUAAAGUAAUGAUUGAUAGGGAUAGUUGGGGGUGCUAGUAUUCAGCGGCCAGAGGUGAAAUUCUUGGAUUCGCUGAAGACUAACUUAUGCGAAAGCAUU